GGCGAGAUGGCCGAGAGGUGCAAGGCACUAGAAUCGGGUGCACAAUAGUGACUGUCCUCCGGGGCGUGGGUUCGAAUCCUAUUCUCGUACG